UGGAAUCGGAUUAUCUGAUUUAUAUUUUCUUAUUUACAUUUCAGCAAGAAGAAUCUGAGGUUGGUGUACUUGGAGGAAAUGGUCAGCUAUUGACCCUUGGGUUGGGUCUGUUGUUCACAGCAUUAGCUGCAGCGUAUGUGACACGGCUUGCGAAGGAUGCUGUGAAGGAUAUUGAGUAGAUACUAAGCACUUAUAACUGUAAAUGGAAGGGGAAAGGUUUCGGGCAACAUGUUCUAGACUGCAAAGUGGAUAGCAAUAUAAUUUAAAUUGCAAAGUCUACGGAUGCCUAAUGUGUGGGUAAUUUGGAAUGUGUAUAAUUCAACACUCCCAGAAAUGGGAAAAUUUUGAUGUAUUCUUUUGUUAUGCAAGGGAGGUGCCACAUAAUUGUUAGUUAAUUCUAACUGAACAGUUCUAAUCUUUACUCAAUGCCUCCUAUUAGAUGGCAAAAUGGUUUAUAUAGAGUUUAGAUCUGUCUGA